AUAAGGCCAAAAGCUCAAUUUACUGUGCCUUUUUGUACUAGGAUCAGUUACGAAAGUAAGGCCUAACGAUCCCUAAAUAGCCUCAGGUGCGUGAGGAUUGGGGUGACAGACAAGUUACCUCCGGGACAACUGGCUUGUGGCUGCUAAGAGAUCAAAUCAACGCAGCUUUUUGAUUCUUCGAUGUCGGCUCUUCCUAUCCUAGUGAUGUACAAGUUGCUAAGGGUCGGAUUGUUCACCCGUAUUAGGGAUCGUGAGCUGGGUUUAGACCGUCGUGAGCCAGGUUUGUUUUAUCCUACUGGAUAUAGCAUCAUGAUAGUAGAUUGAUUUAGUACGAGAGGAACUGUUGAUUAUGGCCUCUGGUUAGCGAUUAUCGGAAACGGUAUGUCGCGCAGCUACGCCGUCUGGGAUAAUGGCUGAAAGCCUCUUAAGCCAGAAGCCCAUCUAGAAAGUGAUGCACGUGAUGUUGGACCGAUACGAAUAAUCAUACUCAAAAGGUCCGCUUCAUAGGUAACCCAAUGUAGAAGACAUUGUUUGAACGAAGGUACUGUAAGCAGUGGAGUGGCAUUACGUCCACGACCUGUUGAGGUUCAGCUUCGCUUCUAGGUUUCC
rnacentral:ncRNA from 1 species